rnacentral:tRNA from 6 species
GGCGACAUAGCUCAGAUGGUAGAGCAAGCGGCUCAUAUCCGCUGUGUCGAGGGUUCAAGUCCCCCUGUCGCCA